rnacentral:rRNA from 1 species
GAUGAACGCUGGCGGCGUGCCUAAUACAUGCAGGUCGAGCGAACAGACGAGGAGCUUGCUCCUCUGACGUUAGCGGCGGACGGGUGAGUAACACGUGGAUAACCUACCUAUAAGACUGGGAUAACUUCGGGAAACCGGAGCUAAUACCGGAUAAUAUAUUGAACCGCAUGGUUCAAUAGUGAAAGACGGUUUUGCUGUCACUUCUAGAUGGAUCCGCGCCGCAUUAGCUAGUUGGUAAGGUAACGGCUUAUCAAGGCAACGAUGCGUAGCCGACCUGCGAGAGGGAUCGGCCACACUGGAACGGGGACACGGUCCAGACGCCUACGGGAGGCAGCAGUAGGGAAUCUUCCGCAAUGGGCGAAAGCCUGACGGAGCAACGCCGCGUGAGUGAUGAAGGUCUUCGGAUCGUAAAACUCUGUUAUUAGGGAAGAACAAAUGUGUAAGUAACUAUGCACGUCUUGACGGUACCUAAUCAGAAAGCCACGGCUAACUACGUG